AAGUCACGACAACGGACGCCGUUCCACUACCCGCAACAGACUCCACGUGGCACGUCCCGGUGGUGGCCACGAUCCCACUCCACUACUCUUCGCAACAAACUCUGCCUGACUCUGGGCAGCCCACUGCCAGACGGUUACAGAUAUCGCUAUCAGUCUGCUGCCCCCUUUCGCCUAUAAAAGGGGGCCCCAGAUACGUUAUUCUCUAAGCUCUAUUUUCUAUCCC
rnacentral:lncRNA from 1 species